rnacentral:rRNA from 1 species
AUUGAACGCUGGCGGCAGGCCUAACACAUGCAAGUCGAGCGAGCGGCGGACGGGUGAGUAACGUCUGGGAAACUGCCUGAUGGAGGGGGAUAACUACUGGAAACGGUAGCUAAUACAGCAUACCAUCAGAUGUGCCCCGAUGGGAUUAGCUAGUAGGUGGGGUAACGGCUCACCUAGGCGACGAUCCCUAGCUGGUCUGAGAGGAAGACCAGCCAUACUGGAGCUGAGACACGGUCCAGACACCUACGGUAGGCAGCAGUGGGGAAUAUUGCACAAUGGGCGCAAGCCUGAUGCAGCCAUGCCGCGUGUGUGAAGAAGGCUUUCGGGUUGUAAAGCCCUUUCAGCGGGGAGGCGUUACCCGCAGAAGAAGCACCGGCUAACUCCGUGCCAGCAGCCGCGGUAAUUC